rnacentral:lncRNA from 1 species
AGACGUUUAUUGGGAUUUCAAGGAGAAAAUUCAGCUGUUAGAAAAACUGAAUUAGAUAGCUAUAAAAGAGGGGUGUUGGCUUCAAAUGAAGGACAGAUUUGAUAGCUCAAUCCUCCAGAAAAGGGACUUUUUUUGCUACCUCUUUGCUGCCCUGUUUGAGGUGCUAUCUUCUCCUCAAAUCUGAGCCUAGGUUGGCUCAUUCUCUUCUUCUCCACUUGAGCCUGGAUUAAGCCAUUCCCCCUCUUAUGACUGCUGCCAUUAUAGCCGGAUGUCUCAUUCUGAGUUGACAGUUGAAACGCCGGCUUUCACUAUUUCUUUAAAAGAUGCUUUGGCGUCCCUGUUCGAUGCUAAUUUGCUGUUGAAAACCAGUCCAGAACAAGAGAGGAAUGGAGUUAUUUGCAGCUGAAAGGAAAUUUGAGGCUUCUCAUGGUCUCAGGCUGAGGUAAUAGCUGAGAUAAUAGCUGAGAAAUCUUUCCAGAAACAAGAACCUAACCCAAAGCUCUCCACUCCCAUUUGAGCCUGCCUAAAUCCAUUUGAGACCCCUCGCUUGGCCUAAACUUUCACCCUGUGCUCAACAAUCUGAACUUAUGUAAUUAAAACUCUGGACUGAAGUUUAUUUUGAGACUAGUUAGGAAGUUCUCUUUGUUGUUUUGCCAAUGACUUGUUGCUCAAAAUAAGUUGUGAUUUUAUUUACGUUUGGCUUUGAUUCCAAUAAAUAUUUGUACAUUUUCUUGUGAUUUAAUUAACCCUUUCAGUUUCUGGUUCAGUUGAAUCAAGUUGGUCAUUUUAUUUAUAUCAAGUGGUUCUCCAAGUGGCUUAGAAAAAAAUAAAAAAAAAAAGGAAAAUAUUUUGUAUUCCAUCAAAUUGGUAUCAGAGCAAGUUCUGGUCCACCAGCUUGCAUUUACUUUCAUGAAUAUAAUUACACAGUUGCAUAUUCAUAUUUUUCUUACCUUCUCACCAAUCAAGGGUCACCUAGUAUUCAUAAAAGCUGCCAUGUCAACCUCCAAUUCUGGUCAAAACCAAAUUGGUAAUGACUAGGGAGUUGCUAUGAAAGGCAACAAGAAUUAAUCAUGCAACAUCAACAAUCUUUGAAUCGACUAGAAGCUAGUGUGGUUCAGAUCAGAAACAUGACCUGAGCCUUCCAAUUCAGAAACCAAACAGUCCAACAACCCCUUGGGGUGAUAGGCAAUCUAGGGGAGCUUUACUUGAAAAAAAAUUCGAUUGAAGGAUUAGAUAACCCAGACCAUGUCACAAAUGCCCAAAAUGAAUUCAACUGAAAGAAACCAUAGGACUAAAAACAGGUGGGAUCAGGGAAUUAGAGUUAACGAAUGUGACUUUGAGGGAAAAGUAAAUCCGGAGGCAAGGUUUAAAGUGCCACGGCACGGGGGCGUGCCAUUGUCUGCCUGGCACAGUACGGCGCCGGCACGCUUCCGUGCCGACACGUGAUACGCAUGAGUGCCGAUGGAUACGCACGACCUUCUACUGGCACGCUUUGGCACGGACUUAUUUCAAUUUUUUUGGUUCCAAUAAGCUCUUAUAAUGUUAUUUUAAAAAAUUUAAUCAAAUAAUUAUGAAUAUUUGCUAUAUAUAGCUUACUAUACUUAUCAAUUAACAUAUUUGUAAACUUUUCUGUAUGUAAAGUACAAUUAUAUCUAAUGUAGAAUAGAAAUUUUUACAGGUUAGAAUUUUUAAAAUGCAAAGACAUCUUUUUUUUCUUUUUUUUUGACCAUAUUACAGUCUUUAUUUUAUAAAAUACAAAAAAAAUUAAUUUUAAAAAUUAUUUGAAAAAAAUAUUUUAAAAAGUAUUUGAAAAUUUAUUUUUUUAAUUAAUUUUUUCAAAAAAUAGUAGAUCUAUCAAUAAAAUUAAGCAAUAAAUUAUAUGACAUAUAAAUUAAAUAAAUUUAAGUACGAAUUGAUUUAAUUUAGUUUUUAAUUUUAUCAGUAUUUUCAAUCUUUUAACACAAAAAUAAAAUUUUAUAUUUGAUGUGGCUCAAAUUUGUUUAUUGAGUUCGAUUUUGUUCUCUUAAUUUGCCAAAAAAUUCGCAGUGCGAUAAAUUUUAAUAAAAUAAUUUGUGAAGGAAAAAGAGAUAUCUGUGAUAGAAGCAAAAAGCUCGGACAAAUCUUUUGUCUGUAUAUUGAUAAACAAAAAAAAUUAAAUUAUAAUUUUUUUGACUUACCUCAUAAGUAAAUUUUCGAUUUGCAAUGUCAUUGGGGAGGGGCGUGGGGUAUCUAGAAUGCUUUGGAUAUUCCAAAGAACAAAACAAAAGAAAAAAAAAAACAAAAAGCAAAAAAAAAAAAUAGCAUAGUGCCGGCACGGCACUGUGCCGUGGCACGCUGCGCCGUGCCGCUCUAUCUCGUGCGGCACGGUGUUGCGUGCCGCGGCACGGAGGGGGGUCCGAGACCUCUCCUGUACCGUGCCACCUUCGGUACGUGCCGCCCCGUGCCGUACGGCAUGGGGCGGCACUUUAAACCUUGCUUAAAACCUUGCUAUCCAUCCUUACCUUCAUAUAGUAAAAGCUCGUAUGGCGAAUCCAUACCUUCAUAUAGUGUUUACACUGCAUACCCACAUUAUGAUUCUUCUAUUCCAUACCAUCCUUAUUCUUAUGAUGUUGCAGUCCAUAUGCCAGUACAAGUGACUGUUGUUUAUUAAAUCCACGAUUCAGUUGCAUAUGCAGAUUACGUAUGACGAUACAAUGAGAUGUACCAGCAAAUAGUGAUCGGGUCGUUGCUGCUCCAAUUGAUGUGGGAUGGAUUGAAAUUCAUUCUCAGUGCCAUGAAUUGAUGAAGUAGAAGAGUCAAAUGUAGAGUAUGCAUCAGCAUCGUAAUCGUAUCUUUCUCUAUUAAAACCAUGGUGAUGUGAGGGAUAUGAUGAUACCGAAGUACACUAUCAAACUGUGAGCACGUAUCGUCAUCCAUUCAUGGCUAUUCGAUUGACACCGGUUCCAAGCCCUCUCUCAUCUUCUAUAAUUUUGUUAUGAGGACCUAUUACCUGUUCUGCGAUCAUAUACCACUCCAGAUGUUUGACGUGGUUGAGACCUAUGAUCAGCAUCUCGAGUGGCAUGAGUGAGGUUUUGCUCUUCAGUAAAUAUAAGAACUUUCCCACCCUCCUGUUGUUCUGAGUAGCCCCAUUGCUAUUGGUGGUAUCAUCAUCAUCAUCAUCACUACACAUCUUUGGAUUGUGGUAAUCCAAAAUGUGUUGGUGUUGAUUUAUCGCUAUCAUUAUCAAGCGGGAGUGCACCACCUGCAUUUAAUAGAUCCACCGAUGUCAUACUUUUUCUACCCUUACCAGUUCCAACUGUUGUUGAAGGCUUGUUUACGAUAGACGAUGUCCUUUCUUUUUCGGAUUGACUUUUGAGUACAAUUAGGCAACCAUGUCCAGGUCUCAGCAUAAGGUGCUCAAAUUCUGCAUCAGAGUCAUCUACAAGAUUUUGGGAUUCUUCGCCUAAAGUUGCUUGUUCUUGCACAUCACCCCACUGAUUCUGAGACCUUCGUAUAUUCUCGUCACCCAUUUUUCUAUGUCACUAACUCUUGCUUUCUCAGCAAUUAUCUUGAAUGAUCGUGGUGGAUUAAUUCUUUCUAUUUUGUACCCAAUCAAAUGCGGGAUCUGAUUCAUCAUUAAUAAAGCUUGCAUCUAAAGGAUCAUUUUUAUUUCUUAUUAUACUCCUUUUGCAUGCAUCUUAAACGGAGCCUCAUAUUACAGUGGACAUAAAUUAGCUUGUCUAAUCAUGCAUAUGCUAAUUGAUUACACACUUUAGUAUGUAUCUAUGCGAAUGUACUCCAGUUACAUUUUGCAUCCGCUAGACGUUGUUUGAGAUAAAACACGCACAUCAAUCUUCUUUAAAUGCUUUGCUGAUCCACCGUAUUGUAGCCACCAUUUAGAUUUCCAUUUAAAAAUUAAAAUCGUAUCAAAUUAGGUUUGUCGUUAGAUAUAAAAUGUCUAAGUUAUUGAGUUACUGGGAUCGGUGUUGUCUCUCGUUAAUUGCACCCGUUUCGCCAAAAGUACCAGAGGAUUCAUGAAAUAUUUUUUCUUUAUUAUGAUAUUAUAAUAAUGAGCAAUCAGUAUGUUAAUAUAUAAUAAAUUAAUAAUACAUUGAAAAAGCAAGUGUACCUUAUUUAUGGCUUGGAUUCCUCUCCAAUCUAUUGAUGACAUUUAAUGCCCUCCAAAAUUCAUCAUCAAACCCAUGAUUAUAACGAUGGUGGUAUGAUGAACUAAUAUAAUAACCUAUCAUUAAGAAAUCACUCCACCAAUGCAAAAAUACAAUUGAACAAUCACUAACAAAUAGUUUUGUUAUAAUUUUGUAGCACACUGAAUCUUAGCAAAUUGCAAGGUUUCAGUGUAGGAAUAGUGUUUUGAACUAUUCUGGAAGUUUUGAGGGUUGUCUGGAGUGUGUUGACUUGUUUUUGGAGCUAAGUAGGCGCGAGAACGGGUUUUCGACAUCAAAAUCUGUAAAUUACAGAUUUUUGGUGUUGAGUACUGGUACUGAUUUGAGGUACCGGUACUCAGUAGAGUGCCGAAAUGGGCAGCUCUCGGAUUUUGCGGAACCAGGUUGUGAGUACCGGUAUAAAGCCGAGUACCGAUACUACAUCGGGCAGGUACCAGAACGUAGUAAAAACUAGAAUUUUCAAUGUUCGGGUUUUGCGGAACUAGACCCCUGAUAUCGGAACUGCCGAGUACCGGUACUCCAAUUCAUGUACCUGUACUCAAUGUUGCAGAGUCUAAUUUCGUGUAGUAUGCAAUUUCUGAGUUUUUGAGGGACCUAAGGGAGAUUGUUACAUAAUGUUGUAUAACCUCUCAUCCCCUCACUUGUUUCCUCUUGUGCUCAGGCUAGAGAGAGAAGAAGGUGAGUGCUCACUCUCUCUCUUGAAUUUCUUCCUUCAAACCCCCAAAUCUUGGGUUUUUAUCUCUUUUUUUCUAGCUUCUUCAUUGAAGCUUGCAUCUUGGACCUAGAAGGGAGCUUGGAAGUGAAGAAGAAGCUUGUUUUAGAAUUAAACUCCAACCCUAGCAUCUCAUAGCUUGGUUUGGAGCUCUUAUUGAGGUUAAUAGUCUUCUUGCAUCAUCUAAUUGUGUGUUUUGCAAGAAUUUUGGAAGAAAACAUAGUUUGGAAGAAACUAGGGUUUAUUUGGGGUUUCUUUAUUUUGAGCUUUUGUGAUUGAAUUGAUGGAUGUAGAACCCUCUUUUAGGUUGGAUUUGAAGCUUCUUAGCUUUGGUUUGGACCUUGGACAAGUUUUACUUGAUCAAAGGUAAUUUUCAUCUAUUUUCUACUUGAUUUUUGGUGAAUUUCGUGGCAAGCUUUUUAGAAGUUUGUAACCCCUUAAGAAUUUUUCUUAGGGUGCUAGAAGUUUAGUGGGCAACUUCGUUUGAAGAAACGAACAAGUUUCAAAGAGUUUCUGGUGGGUUUGACCUCACCUAAAUGGAUAAACUCCUUCUAUGUCUCCUACAUGGUUUUAGGACUUAUUUGAUGCAUAUUUACGCUAAUCAUGAUAUGAUAGAAUUUUUGGAUACAUGAUGCAUAUAGGUUAUGUAUGAAAUUUUGUGUACUCUAUAUAGUAGAAUAAUGCCAUAUUUGAUGCUAUUUCCCACGACCACCAUGCUGUCGACAUAUAAUAGCAAAAUACGGAAGCUCCCGUCAUCGUAUUCGUAGAAAUAUGCACAAUAAUCCACCUCAAGCUUAUCAAAACCCAAACUCAAAAUAAGGGAAUCAAAUUGCUUGUACCAACAACUUGGUGCCUGUUUCAAGCCAUACAACGAUUUGUUCAAGCAACAAACCAAAUGCUCCCUGCCUCUUUCGACGAAGCCUUCUGAUUGCGACAUAUAUAUUUCCUCCUCCAGGUCACCACGCAAGAAAGCUGUUUUUACAUCCAUCUGCUCGAGCUCCAAAUCCAUGACUGCCGCGAUUGCCAAAACGACAUGAAUAAUAGUAAGCCAAAUCACUGGUGAGAAGAUCUCAUCGAAGUUGAUCCCUGGCUUUUGAGCAUAACCCUUCACUACCAAUUUGCCCUGAACCUCUCCACAUUCCCAUCCGCAUCCUUUUUCACCUUAAUAUCCACUGGCAUCCAAUCGCGUUCCUUUCCUUCAGCAAAUCAACAAGUUCGCAGGUCCUAUUCUUCCGAAGUGACCCUAUCUGCUCCAUCGCGCAUUGCCACUUUUCGGCAUUGGUCGACUCACAAGCCUCCUUAUAUAAAGUUGGCUCAUCUUUCUCCACCAAAGUAACAUAUGCACUAACAUGAUUAGCAGGAGUAAAUGAAGUAAUAUAGUCAUCAUACCUCGUAGGAGGUCUAAUGACCCUCCUAGGACGCCCGGAAUCCGCUGGUGGCUCCACCAGUGAAUUUGUAUCUUCAGAUGAUUGCGGAGAUUCCAAGUCUGGUUCAUUAUCAACCACCUUAUCGUCUUCCUGUGCUUGCUAAGCUUGCACCUCAUCGCGUGCUUCAAAGAACUCAAUUGGAGCCAUAGCCUCAUCAUCUUGCUUUUCCUUGGUUCUUUGAAAGGACCCUUCGUUGAAGACAACGUCACGGCUUAUGACGAUCUUGUGGGUAGUAGGAUCCCACAAUUGAUACCCCUUAACACCUUUCGCUUAGCUGAGAAAUAUGCACCUUCGAGAGAUCUUAUCCAAUUUUGACCUCUUCUCCUUCGGUAUCCACGCAUAACGUCACAACCAAAGACACGAAGAUAGGAGUAGUCAACGGGCUUGCCGCUCCAGACUUCUUCAGGAAUUUCCAAACCAAGUGAUUUUGUUGGCGUUCGAUUGAUCAAGUAACAAGCCGUGCUCACGACUUCCGCCCAAAAUCUCUUGUCGAGUUUUGAAGUACUCAACAUGCUCCUGGCCCUCUCCAUGAGUGUUUUAUUUAACCUCUAUGCUACACCGUUUUGCUGCGGUGUAUCGGAUACUGCGAGGUGCCGCUUAAUUCCAUGUUCACUACAAAACUCAUCAAAUUCUCUUGAACAACACUCCUCUCCGUUAUCAGAAUGUAGGCACUUAAUUUUUAAACCCUUUUCAUUCUCCACAAGAGCUUUAAACUUCUUAAAAGUUUCAAACACGUCGGACUUCCUCUUUAGGAUAUACUCCCAAGCCUUUUGAGAAUAAUCAUUAAGAAAGAGAACAAAGUAAGAACACCCGCCCAACGAAAUAUCGGGCGACUCCCAAGUAUCUGAAUGAAUCAACUCGAGAUGUGACUUGCUUUUUUGAUGUGAUAGAGAGAAGGAUAACUUUCGUUGCUUCCUGUAGAUGCAAAUUUCAAAGAAAUCCAAUGGCGCGGACUUGUAACUUGGAAGAAGUUCACGGUUAGAUAAUACCUGCAAUCCGCGCUCACUCAUGUGUCCCAAACGGCGAUGCCACACCGUCGGAGACUCCACCUUCACGCUUGCAGCAACCGCUUCUCCUACUUGAGUCUCGCCCACAAAUCUAUAUAGGCCAUCUAUUUGCUCUCCUUUAAUCAACACCAAACAUCCUUGAGAUACCUUCAAAUGAUCCUUCUCGCCGACGAGCCUAAGCCCUUGUUUGCAAAACAUUCCAAGUGAUAGAAGACUUUUCCGAAGUGCAGGAACAUGCCGAAUAUUAGAAACCGUCUGAACAACACCAUCAAACAUCUUGAUUCGAACAUCUCCUACUCCAACCACCGGACAUGUCGUGUUGUCACUCAAAUAGAUAACUCCACCAUCCCAUGGUUUGUAAAUAUGAAACCAUUCCCUAUAGGGAGUUAUGUGGAAUGACGCCCCCGAAUCCAAGAUCCAAUGAUAAAUAAGAUCGGAUCUAUCCAAUGCGGACAAAGCAUCUCCGUUCUCUGAACUAGCCGACUUAGCAUUCGUUUCGGCUACAUUACCUUGGAAGUUGCUUGAAUCGGAUUUAUUAUCAACUCCUUUAACCUGGCAAUCCUUCUUCAUGUGCCCCAAUUUUUCACAAUUCCAGCACUUUACUUUCUUUUUGUCCUUGGACUUUGAUCUUGACUUCCCUCGAUCACCACGCUCCCUCUCAAAGGGUCUUUCCCGUGCUAUUAUAGCCUCCCCCGAAAAGCUUCCUUGGCUAGACUUUCGCCUCAUCUCCUCCGUAAACAACGAUGCAACAACCGACUCCAUCUUAAGGGUUUCAACAUGGUUCAAGUUCAUAAUCAAAUUAUCCCAAGAUUCCGACAUCAAACAAAGUAAAAUAUUUGCCUUUUCUUCUUCAUCAAUUCUCACGGCUCACUAUGGAGUUGAAUGAACUUAGAUGUUCUUGUACGGGUGCCCCGUCCUUCAUCUUUAGACUGUACAAUUGCCGCCUUAAGAAGAUUUUAUUCACCAAUGACUUCCCUUUAUAGAGAUUCUUCAAUUUAUCCCAAAUCCUUUUGCGGUAGUCUUGGUCUCCACAUUUCAGCACCGAAUCAUCUAGUGCCAAAUACAGAUUUGCCAAAGUCAUCUUGUCUUUCUCUUCAAAUAGCUUAUCCGUCAUCCCUUCCGGCUUUUUCUCCUUUCCUUGCAGGGCGAUCUCACAAAUAUCUUUAAUCAAGACUGCUUGCAUCUCAAGUUUCCACAAUGCGAAAUUCGUUCCAUCAAAUCGAAGAACCUCAUACUUCGUCGCUUUAAUUUUUUUCCACCAUUGUUUCACCGUUAACGUACUACAAAGAACCAAACGCUCUGAUACCAAUUGAACGGACUGGCCGUGGGGUUACGACCACACCUCAAACCCACACGGCACGGGCGCAUCCGAAACAGGAUCUUUCGUAGACGUAAGAGAUGAGAGCGAUCGUAGAAAAAAUAAGCACGAGGAUAACAAAGCAAUAAAGAAAAUAAGAGAACACAAAAACAUAAGAUUUACGUGGUUCGGUCAACCAUGAGUCGACCUACGUCCACAGGAAAGCCACCUCAAUGCUUUCUUCGAUUAAUCCACGGCACAAAAGUACAAAGGAGUAGAUUGGAUUGCAAAAAAUUCUCUCUCAGGAGCUUUCCACGUUUUCCUCUCAACUAGGGUAUUUUCAAUGAAGCUUAUAAUCUAAAAGCUUAAUUACAAGGGUUUAUAUAACCCUAAAAUCCUAAUUCUAGUAAGAAACAAUUUUCGCCUUCUAUCCAAGUCUGAUUCACAUGUAGUCAUUGAUAUCCUUUUAGGAAUACUCUUUAAAGUGAUUUUGGACUAUUCUUAAUCUUUUGGAACAAUAUUAGAUCCAAUCAGAGUCAAACUCUGCAUAUCGACUUGGAACAUGGCAGAAUUUAAGUGUCAUGGCACGCGGUCGUGCUGAAAACUGGCCGGCAAGGUACAACACGAUGCGUUACGGGCGGUGCCGAUAUGUGCCGGUCGCAAAAAAUACAUGCAUGCCUACACAUAAUAGUAUGAAAUAUUUUUUUUCUUUAGCACCAAAAUACUCUAAUUGCUUAUUAUGUAUCUAAUUAAAUCUUUUGAACUUUAUUGAGAAAAUUACUUAUUUAAUUAAGCUAUGUCAUCGGCAUAGGGACUAUAUCGUGCUAAUAUUUUGUUGGCACGAUACGACACGGUACAUACAGCCCAUGCCGAUGUGUCAGAGUCCUUUUUGGUUGUCAACGGCCCUGACUUUGUCAAUAGCAUUGAGUCUGUAAAGAGUCUGUAAAUGUUUUGUCGGGCACGACGUCGACAUAGGAUUUUUCUUGUUUGGGAUGGGCAUUGCUUGUAAAUUGGCAUCCGGUUGGCUACCCGCGGGUUCGCUCGUGCUACGCAUCCAAGGGAACAUAGGUAUUUCGCUAACAAUGGCCGCUUAUGCAACGGAUUGAGCCGGAUGCGUGUCGGACAUGGGUCGGCGGCCUAUUUUCCCAUGGGUGUGCGGAGGGGGGAAAACGUACCCCUCGGUGAGCACCUUUGUACCCUCGGGGUGCCAAAGGGGUGGAUGCCAAUAUGGGAUAGUACGGGAAGGUUGGGUGAUACGUAUUAAGUGAGCCGGCUUCGCUAGAUGCGGAGUGUCUUAGUGAUCAUUUUGCCUUCAUCGGCCAUGCCCGACCAAGUCGAGUCGUGUGCUUUUCGCUUGUAGUCCAACUUUUCGUUAUCAAUAAAAUACUCGUUGUUUGUACCAAUUUGCAGGACCCCUUUGUGUGCUUUCUCUCAAUUCUCGGUCGUUGACAAUUUGCGAAAUUGUGCCUCGGGACAGAUUGGCUGGCUCGUUUGUGCAGGUGACGAACGAGCGCCGCGCGGGCUUUUCGACAAGAAGUCAUUAGACCUGUGUUAGAUGGGCACUUAAAUCCUUGUGUAUAACUAUAAAAGCUAUAGAGAAUUAUUUCAUUUACAGAAAACUGUAAAUGAUAUCAGUGUUAAGCUUACAGCGCAUUACGUGCUUCACGAUCAUUUAAAAUGACCUAUGAAGACCUCAUCAUGCUCCAUUAUAUAGGAUUUGUUCAAUUCCGAUGUAAGAUGCCACAAAGGGGAGAUGGACAGAGAAUGACCAAACAAGAAUUCAUUGGCCUUACACGCUGGAUGAUACUGCUGACUAUAGUUGGAUGCAAAUUGAUUUAUAUAUCAGACUUUUGUAUCUAUGGCAUGUUAUCCCUGUCAUUAUAUUUAAUUUGGAAAAGGAUGCAAGAAAACUGUGUUGUAUAUCUUUUUUAAUCUGCUAGCAAAGGGAGUUACUCGUACAUUUUGGCUUGAAAUGUUAGUACAAGGUUUACCAUUCUCUCUUAUGGUUGUUCAUUAGUACAAAAUUGGAGCACUAAAAUAUCAAUACUGAUUUCACGACAUGCAUAAUAUGGCAGAUAAGUUCCAUCAUGAGAGUUUGUCACAUAAUUCCUGGUGUCCAAACUAAUAUAUGUUGCCCUUAAUUAUAUAAUAAUGGAGAUGUUAACUUUUCUUCAAUAACUGUGAUUUUAAAUUUCGAGUCGUCCUUCAAUUACUGUCUCGGCUUCAAGUUUCAUCUCUUUUUCUCUGCUUUUAAUGUAGGAGGAAAUAAAUGAACUUGAGACCAUGGACCCCUCAUCUGCUGCAUGCCAAGAGUGAGUAAAUCUGGUUUUGUGUACCUGAUGUUUUAUUUCUAUGCAUAUUCUCAGUGCUAACGAGGUAAGACCUUAUUCUUGAUUUUGUUUGUAGAGUUCUCUUAAGUAUGGAAGGAAAACCUGAGCCGCUCCUUCCUGUGUGAGUAGUAACUUUCAAUAAUUCUGAUGAUCUUAGAAAAAAAAGCCAUUUUGAAAAAAGGAAAUUGGACAGCAGAUUAUCAGUAUACAUGUUUUUUUUUCCUCGCACUGUAACAAUGUUGGUAAUGCAUUGGUGAUCUUAUUGAUAUUUUGUCAGCACCAGAGGUCCAGAAGAUGUUUCGUGGGAUCGGUGGUUCCAGCGUGUUCGUAGCUCUCGUGGUCACAAGUGGUGGACACACAAAGGUUCUGAUUUUUCUUAAUGUCUUGCAACAAAUCAGGUCACAAGAACUUCAACUGCUUUCACAUAUGGCUAGUUGAGAGAGCACAUUUUGUAUGAUAGUUUUGGCAACUACAUACUUCUGUAAUGUCGAUUUACGGCGGCUCUAUGUUUAGUGUAAUAUUGCACGAUCGCUUUUGAGUCUGGAGUUGUUAUUGGUUGAAAUAUGUGUGACAAGCACUCACAGUGAUUUCUCCUGGAAAAGUUAGUUGAUUCACAAGGCUAUCAAAUGGGAUCUACUAUUCAUAAUUGCUUGUGUUGUCGCAUGUUUUACAGGCUUUGUCGGAGCGGCAAAUGAUAUGUAUCUUGUGUAUUUAUUUCUUACAAUUCAUUUGUGUUGGCUUAAAACAGCCAGCAUCCUAUCUUAUGGGGGGAGGCCAAAUUAGGCCGAGUCAUGUUAGAAAUGACGAAAGGCUCGUUGGGCUGAGACGCUCGAGAUUCGUGAACGUUGUAGCUGUAUAUUUUAAGUGUAUUUGUUGCAUAUUUUUUAGUAGCUCGAGUUUUUGAAAUUAAUGCAAAUUUUUGUAUCCGAGAAUAGUUCUCUGGUCUCUGGAAUAAAUUGAUAUAACCUGGUAUAAGUGUGGAAUUGUUGUUCUAUCAUUUUUCCUAGAACAAGCUUGUUCCCAAAUGGGAACAAGAUUAAUUAAAGUUUAAAUUUAAUUUUAAUUAUGAUAUUAAAUCAUUAAUUAAUCUAAGUAAUAUAUUUAAAUCAUUAUCCAUUGCUUAAAUAAUAAAGUAACUAAUUAAUUUAUUACUUGUAAUUAAUUAGCUAAUUAAUUAUUAAUAAUUUAAUGUGUUUAUACAUAAACUAAUAUUUAUAUUAAUCAACCGUUAAUGUUUUUAUUAAUCUAAUUAAUUUUUUUACUAAUUAUCAGACAAAUAAUUUACUAACUAAUUAAAAUGUUAAAUUAUUUUUUAAUGUUAAUUAAUUAAUAAAAAUAUUUUUAUUAUCUUAUAUAAUAUUAUAGUUAAUAAAUUAUUAAUUUAUUAAAUUAUUUUAAUUAAUAUUUUGAUAUUAAUUAAUUUGAUAAAAUUUUCUUAAUUUAAAAUUAUAACUCUUAUUCCUCUUGUAUGAAUCUAACCAGGUAAAAUACUAUUUACCUUAUUCUUAAAAACAAUAUAAUUAUUUUUUUCGAAAUGCAAAAUUAAUCUAAAUUCUAUUUUUCAUCUGAAUUUGUAUUUAUACUCGAACCAAAGGCAAAUAAUAACUUAGUUAGUUGAGCCGUUCUAGAAGCACUAGCAAAUUUUCUGUCGAGAACUCAUUUUACAAUUCCCCAGGCCCACGGGCCUACUUGGUAGGCUUAGUGCAUCAAUAGUAUGCUGCCAUUUAGCAUUUGUGACCUCAACGUCACACAGGAUAAAGGACAUAUUUGAGCCGGCUUCCAGGCAGAGAUGUCCCGAACCCGAAUCCGAACCCGAACGGAACAGAUUGAUUUUGGAUAUGAAUAUCAAAAAUAAAAAUUCGACGGAUAUGAAUUCGGAUAUGAUUUUGAUUUUACCAGACCCGAACCUGAACCCAACCUUGAACUUGAUCCGAACCCGAAUUUAUUUUAUAUUAUCUAUAACAUGUAGAUAAAAAUUUAAUGUUAUAUUUGAAUUUGUAUUUUAAAAGUUUUGAUUUAAUGCAAUAUAUUUUGAAAUAUUAAAAAGAGAAAUAAUUAUUUCGGGUUCGGAUUUGGAUUCGGGUUUCGGAUUUUUGAUCGGGUUCGGAUUUGGAUAUGAAUUUUUAAAAUCCAUCGGGUUCGGAUUUCGGAUUUGGAGUCAGGUUCCGAUUUGGAUUUUUAAAAAUCCAUCUCCAAUCCGUCCUGUUGGCAUCCUUACUUCCGGGGAAAGAAAUUGGUUUGUGCCCAGGGCUAACACAGAACCGGUUAGAGCCCUGGGCUCGAAGAUGCACAUAUAAGGAGCCAGACCAUCUCGUUCCGGCCACCCAACACUCCAAUGAUCCCCGAGAAGGUGAGCAUUGUUCACCUCGUGUCCAGUAAGGUAAGACCCCAUCUUGGUUUUGAACUAAUAGUCCCCGAUUGCCUAGUUAGGGUUUGUCGUCUCUGUAAGGCUUCAAACCUUGGUUCAAAUUGCUCCAAAUCACUUGGUUGGCGUUUGUGCUCCGAACAUGUGAGGACUGAGAUUUUUCUAUAUAUGUUUAAUAUAUUUAAAUGUUAUUGUAAGGUACGGACUUCUAAAAAUAUGAAGUUACGGUGUACAUUUAAAUGGUUCCGGUGAGGUUGCGGUGUAAUGUAAUAUACCGGAUUUAAAUAUAAAAAUAAAAAUAAAUAAAAAUAGUAUGAGAUACUAUUUUUAUUGGAUUUAGAGAAGUGAAAUAUAGGUUGGGAAUGACCUGUGUUGAAAUCGGAGCGAAAACAGAAGAUUUAGAAUUUUCUAUGAGAAACGGGACAGAUAAAUUAGCAGAAAAUGCACAGUCUCAGAAAAUUAUGAAAAUUGGAGGUUAAGUCAGAAAUAUUUUUAUGAGGCUAGAUUUAAAGUUUCAUAUUUUUCUGACAUCCGUAGAGUGAGAAAUAAAAUCCGACAGUUAUCUGAUAAAGAUUACAGUUCGGUACAGUUUUCAGUGACUAAACGGGGUCGAAACUGAAAUAUUAAAAUUUCUUUGGACUUAUUAAGUAAAACCGAGCGUGCCUGUCAAAUUUGAGCUCAAACAGACAUUCAGGGAGUUCCGGCGAAAGAUAUCAGAUUUCAAGCUGCCUGUAAGUGAAUAGUGUUGGGGUGUAAUUAAAUAGAAGCUCUUGGCUUCUUCUUCCCCAACCAGCCGCACACACACACACCCACACGCCACACAACACACACGCAUGGAAAGAGGGAGAAAGAGAAACCUUCCAUUUUCUCUCUCUAAAUCUCUCCCAAAGUGGAUGGAUUUGGUGGAGAUUGAAGCUUGGAGGUGAAUCGCCUUCGUCUUCUUCAUUUUCUCCACCUUGAGGGCAAGCUUGAGAGGUAAGCUUUUGCUACCUUUUAAUGGUAGAUUCUUAAUAGUUGGUUUAAAUACCUUAUAAAUGGAUUUAGAGGAAUCCUAGCAUGCUAUCUAGAUGAAUGAUACUUGAUUCAUGAAGGAAUUUGGUGGAUUUUUAUCUAGUUGCAACUUAGGGCUUCAAAAUGGGAUUUUUGUAAAUGUGAGGGUUUGAUCUCAUUUGACCCUCUGUAAACCUAAUUGAUAGGUCACUGAACACGUUGGAAGCGACGGUUCGGCGAUUCGUCGAGCCGGUGCAAAGUUAUUAAAGAAACGGACGUUUAGGCUUCGUUUCCGCCUGGAGGGCCGAGGCGACGUCGUAAAAUCCUGAAAACGGAUUUGAAGCAUCGUAACAAGAAACCGAAGACCUUUAAUUUUUGGAUCGCGGAUCGGAGGUCGUUUGGUGGUCGCGCGCGGAUUGGGUCAAGCCGAGCGGCGUGCGCCGCGGGAGGCUGAUUGCGAGUGACGACGAGCAAUCGGAACGCGAUAAAAGGUGGGGGGUGUCUAUUCCGAAGCAACUGAGCUUCUUCCUAUGUCUUAGUACUUUAUCAAUUUGUAUAAAGUAUAUUGUAUGUUGCUACGCUUUAUAGGAUGACAAUACAUGCAUUCCUAAUCCUUGUAUGAUGUUUAUGAUCAAUAUAGUAUUAUGAUAUGGAUAUAUGAUGUAAUGGACAUAAGGAUUAUGAGAUGACAUCGGUAAACCUAUGAUGCUAAAUGAAAUAAGAACCUAGUAUUGUAUUUAAAGACAUAGUUUACAAGUGGCAUUGAACUCAUUGUGCUAAAAACACAUAUGACUUGAACUUAGUAAUGGAUUGGUUGUUGUACUAGAAACUCUAGUUAACAUUGAUCAAGUUGCAUAUUGGGAUAUUGCAUUAUAGGGUACUAGUUGGCAAUUGUUACAUGUCAUGGCAUGCUAGUGGGAGUGUAGUGUUACUUGAUUAAUAUUUGUACCUAGUAUGCAUGAGAUUGGGACUUAGUGUGGUGAAACCCUAUAAGGGCAUGAUUAAUGUGGAUUAAACUUUAGUUGAGUACAUUAAUCGAUCAAGUUGCAUAUUGUAUUUAUUGCAUAUAGGUGCUAGAUGAUUAUGGUUAUUGCUUAUAUUUGCAUGCUAGUAGCUAUACAUCUUGAUGAUUGAUCCAUGAUCUAGUAUGCAUGAGAAC